AUGCUAUACCGGAUAACAACAGAUGAUGCCUAUCAACUGUUUAAAAGAUGGUUCUGCUAUCACUCUUGGAUGGACCUGCGGUGCAUUAGCUAGUUGGUAGGGUAACGGCCUACCAAGGCGAUGAUGCAUAGCCGAGUUGAGAGACUGAUCGGCCACAUUGGGACUGAGACACGGCCCAAACUCCUACGGGAGGCAGCAGAC
rnacentral:rRNA from 1 species